rnacentral:rRNA from 1 species
AUUGAACGCUAGCGGGAUGCCUUACACAUGCAAGUCGAACGGCAGCAUAAGAGAGCUUGCUCUCUUGAUGGCGAGUGGCGAACGGGUGAGUAAUGUAUCGGAACGUGCCCAGUAGCGGGGGAUAACUACGCGAAAGCGUAGCUAAUACCGCAUAAUGUGUUUUGGGGGCAUCCCCGGAACACCAAAGAUUUAUCGCUGAAAGAUGGGCUCGCGUCUGAUUAGCUAGUUGGUGGGGUAACGGCCUACCAAGGCGACGAUCAGUAGCCGGACUGAGAGGUUGAACGGCCACAUUGGGACUGAGAUACGGCCCAG